rnacentral:rRNA from 1 species
GAUGAACGCUGGCGGCGUGCCUAAUACAUGCAAGUCGAGCGAACGGACGAGAAGCUUGCUUCUCUGAUGUUAGCGGCGGACGGGUGAGGAACACGUGGAUAACCUACCUAUAAGACUGGGAUAACGUCGGGAAACCGGAGCUAAUACCGGAUAAUAUUGUGAACCGCAUGGAUCAAAAGUGAAAGACGGUCUUGCUGUCACUUAUAGAUGGAUCCGCGCUGCAUUAGCUAGUUGGUAAGGUAACGGCUUACCAAGGCAACGAUGCAUAGCCGACCUGAGAGGGUGAUCGGCCACACUGGAACUGAGACACGGUCCAGACUCCUACGGGAGGCAGCAGUAGGGAAUCUUCCGCAAUGGGCGAAAGCCUGACGGAGCCACGCCGCGUGAGUGAUGAAGGUCUUCGGAUCGUAAAACUCUGUUAUUAGGGAAGAACAUAUGUGUAAGUAACUGUGCACAUCUUGACGGUACCUAAUCAGAAAGCCACGGCUAACUACGUG